GGAAGUCUCUCUGUGGAGGUCUGAGGGAAGAGCUCGCGCCAGGUAGACGCUGCGCCGUCAUCAUGGGCAAGGGGGACCCCAACAAGCCGCGGGGCAAGAUGUCCUCGUACGCCUUCUUCGUGCAGACCUGCCGGGAGGAGCACAAGAAGAAGCAUCCCGACUCGUCGGUCAACUUCGCCGAGUUCUCGAAGAAAUGUUCGGAGAGAUGGAAGGUGGGGGCGGCAUUCCCACUCACCUGCAGGCCGUUUCCGGGGUAGUUUUUUUUUUUUUUUUGGCGGGUCCCCUGCGGGCAGGGGGACCAGGGACGAGAGGAUUUGAAAAGUUCCCAAGCCGAGGCGCCAUUAAUGCAAAUGGGAAUUUUUGCUCGUUUCUUGGUCCGGCUAAGAGCUGAUUUUUUUUUUUUUGGUUGGGAGCCUAGCCUUUAACGGCUGAGCCAUCUCCAGCCACCGGCUAAGAGCUUUAAAGUUUACCGACUUCCUCGACGCAUUUGUCUAUCCACUUACUUGUACAGCCAAGAACUUUAAACUUCUUGCCCAUUGACUUGGUUUUUCUGCCCAUAGACCAUGUCUGCCAAGGAAAAGUCGAAGUUUGAGGAUUUGGCCAAGAGCGACAAAGCUCGUUAUGACAGGGAGAUGAAGAACUAUGUUCCUCCCAAAGGUGAUAAGAAAGGAAAGAAAAAAGAUCCAAAUGCUCCCAAGAGACCACCGUAAGUUGAUCUGAAAACUGACCCAACCCACCCGCCCCAGUCCUAUCCUUUAUUUAACAACUCUUGCUUCCUUGCAG
rnacentral:lncRNA from 1 species